rnacentral:rRNA from 1 species
CCUACGGGUGGCAGCAGUGAGGAAUAUUGGUCAAUGGACGAGAGUCUGAACCAGCCAAGUAGCGUGAAGGAUGACUGCCCUAUGGGUUGUAAACUUCUUUUAUAUGGGAAUAAAAUGUUCCACGUGUGGGAUUUUGUAUGUACCAUAUGAAUAAGGAUCGGCUAACUCCGUGCCAGCAGCCGCGGUAAUACGGAGGAUCCGAGCGUUAUCCGGAUUUAUUGGGUUUAAAGGGGGCGUAGGUGGAUUGUUAAGUCAGUUGUGAAAGUUUGCGGCUCAACCGUAAAAUUGCAGUUGAAACUGGCAGUCUUGAGUACGGUAGAGGUGGGCGGAAUGCGUGGUGUAGCGGUGAAAUGCUUAGAUAUCACGAAGAACUCCGAUUGCGAAGGCAGUUCACUGGACUGCAACUGACACUGAGGCUCGAAAGUGUGGGUAUCAAACAGGAUUAGAUACCCUUGUAGUC